AUGCGUACCGGUGAUCACGUACUUGCUAUGGUCAAUGAUUUACACGUAAUCUUUGGAAAGGGUCCCGGCAGACUAGCUGUUCCGAAUGACGCUGAGGGACACGCACCCAUGUGGAAGAAGAAAUCUAUAUUUUGGGACCUACCCUACUGGAAAGAGCUAGAGGUCCGCUCUUCAAUCGACGUGAUGCACGUGACGAAGAACCUUUGUGUGAACCUGCUAGGCUUCUUGGGCAUGUAUGGGAAGACAAAAGAUACACCUGAGGCACGGGAGGACCUGCAACGUUUGCACGAAAAAGACGGCAUGCCUCCGAAGCAGUAUGAAGGUCCUGCCAGCUACGCUCUUACGAAAGAAGAGAAAGAAAUCUUCUUUGAAUGCCUGCUCAGUAUGAAGGUCCCGACUGGCUUCUCGUCGAAUAUAAAGGGAAUAAUAAAUAUGCCAGAGAAAAAGUUCCAGAACCUAAAGUCUCAUGACUGCCACGUGAUUAUGACGCAACUGCUUCCGGUUGCAUUGAGGGGGCUUCUACCGGAAAACGUCCGAUUAGCCAUUGUGAAGCUAUGUACAUUCCUCAAUGCAAUCUCUCAGAAGGUGAUCGAUCCAGAAAUCAUACCAAGGCUAAGGAGUAAUGUGGCGCAAUGUCUUGUCAGUUUCGAGCUGGUGUUCCCACCAUCCUUCUUCAAUAUCAUGACGCACGUCCUAGUUCAUCUAGUCGACGAGAUUGUCAUUCUGGGGCCCGUAUUUCUACACAAUAUGUUCCCCUUUGGGAGGUUCAUGGGAGUCCUAAAGAAAUAUGUCCAUAACCGCGCUAGGCCAGAAGGAAGCAUCUCCAUGGGCCAUCAAACAGAGGAUGUCAUUGGGUUUUGUGUUGACUUCAUUCCUGGCCUUAAGAAGAUCGGUCUCCCUAAAUCACGGUAUGAGGGAAGACUGACUAGAAAAGGCACGCUUGGAGGGGACUUAAUAAUAUGCAGGGACGGAUAUUCUUGGUCUCAAGCACACUACACAGUUCUACAGAACUCUACCUUGGUGACCCCGUAUGUCGAUGAACACAAGAACAAUCUGCGCUCCAAACACCCGGAGCAGUGUGACGACUGGAUUACAUGUGAACACAUCAGGACUUUCAGCAGUUGGUUGGAAACACGUCUCAGAGGUGACACCACUGUUUGUGAUGAGUUGUACUCGUUGUCCAGGGAACCAUCUUCGACUGUAUUGACUUACAAAGGAUACGAGAUAAAUGAGAAUACAUUUUACACGAUCGCCCAAGAUCAAAAGAGCACCAACCAAAACAGCGGUGUCCGCUUUGAUGCAGCAACCGAGAGGGGAAAGGACACAUAUUAUGGUUACAUAAUGGACAUAUGGGAACUUGACUACGGACAUGAUUUUAAGGUCCCUUUGUUUAAGUGCAAAUGGGUCAAUCUGUCAGGAGGCGGGGUACAGGUAGACCCACAGUACGGAAUGACAACAGUGGAUCUGAACAAUCUUGGGUACACUGACGAACCGUUCGUCCUAGCCAAUGAUGUGGCACAGGUUAUCUAUGUGAAAGACAUGUCUACCAGACCGAGAAAAAGAAAAGGUAAGGAAGCGAAUACAUCAUACGAUGAGCCAAAGCGCCACAUAGUUCUUUCAGGAAAAAGGGACAUUGUGGGAGUGGAGGGCAAGAUAGACAUGCCUCAAGAUUAUGAAAAGUUUCAUGAAAUUCCUCCCUUCAAAGUCAAGGCUGACCCAAGCAUCCUGAUAAACGAUGAAGAUUAUCCAUGGUUACGACGCAAUAAGCAAAUGACACAAGCGAAGAAAAAGUGA
rnacentral:rRNA from 1 species